rnacentral:rRNA from 1 species
UCCGUAGGUGAACCUGCGGAAGGAUCAUUACCGUGGGGAUUCGUCCCCAUUGAGAUAGCACCCCCUGUUUACGAGUACCGUCCGUUUCCUCGGCGGGUUCGCGCGCCGCCAGGGACCUCCUAGAAACCUCUUGCAGUAGCAGUACCGUCGGCAGAAAACCCAAUAUCAAAACUUUCAACAACGGAUCUCUUGGUUCUGGCAUCGAUGAAGAACGCAGCGAAAUGCGAUAAGUAGUGUGAAUUGCAGAAUUCAGUGAAUCAUCGAAUCUUUGAACGCACAUUGCGCCCUUCGGUAUUCCGUCGGGCAUGCCUGUUCGAGCGUCGAAAUAACCUUCAAGCUCCGCUUGGCCUUGGGCGCCUGUUCGCGCCUCCGUGCGUGCGACUCGCCUCAAAUCCAUUGGCAGCCGGCGGGUCGGCUUCGCGCGCAGCACAUACGCGCGGCGAUGCCAGCCCGUCGCCUCCCCCACAAAGACGCAUUAUCAGUCUGACCUCGGAUCAGGUAGGGAUACCCGCUGAACUUAA